CCUACGGGGGGCUGCAGUAGGGAAUCUUCCGCAAUGGACGAAAGUCUGACGGAGCAACGCCGCGUGAGCGAUGAAGGCCUUCGGGUCGUAAAGCUCUGUUGUUAGGGAAGAACAAGUACGAGAGUAACUGCUCGUACCUUGACGGUACCUAACCAGAAAGCCCCGGCUAACUACGUGCCAGCAGCCGCGGUAAUACGUAGGGGGCAAGCGUUGUCCGGAAUUAUUGGGCGUAAAGGGCUCGUAGGCGGUUUCUUAAGUCUGAUGUGAAAGCCCACAGCUCAACUGUGGAGGGUCAUUGGAAACUGGGGAACUUGAGUGCAGAAGAGGAGAGUGGAAUUCCACGUGUAGCGGUGAAAUGCGUAGAUAUGUGGAGGAACACCAGUGGCGAAGGCGACUCUCUGGUCUGUAACUGACGCUGAGGAGCGAAAGCGUGGGGAGCAAACAGGAUUAGAUACCCCGGUAGUCUC
rnacentral:rRNA from 1 species